rnacentral:rRNA from 1 species
GAUGAACGCUGGCGGCGUGCCUAAUACAUGCAAGUCGAGCGAACGGACGAGAAGCUUGCUUCUCUGAUGUUAGCGGCGGACGGGUGAGUAACACGUGGAUAACCUACCUAUAAGACUGGGAUAACUUCGGGAAACCGGAGCUAUUACCGGAUAAUAUUUUGAACCGCAUGGUUCAAAAGUGAAAGACGGUCUUGCUGUCACUUAUAGAUGGAUCCGCGCUGCAUUAGCAAAUUGGUAAGGUAACGGCUUACCAAGGCAACGAUACAUACCCGACGUGAGAGGGUGAUGGGCCAAACUGGAACUGGAACACGGUCCAGACUCCUACGGGAGGAAGCAGUAGGGAAUCUUGCGCAAUGGGCGAAAGCCUGCCGGGGCAACGCCGGGUGAGUGAGGAAGGUCUUCGGAUCGUAAAACUCUGUUAUUGGGGAAGAACAGUUGUGUAAGUAACUGUGCACACCUUGACGGUACCUUAUCAGAAAGCCACGGCUAACUACGUG